rnacentral:rRNA from 1 species
AACGGGGGGGGCAAGUGUUAUUCGUAUGAACUUGGCGUAAAGGGUACGUAGGCGGUCUUUAAAAUUUUAAUUGAAAUUACUGUGGGAGCCUAGUGUCAAUUUCUUAAUUUUUUGACUUGAGUCCAGAAGAGGAAAGUGGUACUCUCAAUGUAGGGGUGAAAUCCGCAGAAAUUGACGGGGACUACCAAUUAGCAAAGGCGGCUUUCCAGUAUGUGACUGACGCUGAGGUACUAAAGCAUGGGGAGCGAACGGA